ACUAUUCUUCUUCACUUCCUAUUGAUCCCUAAGAUUGUUUUCUUGUUGGGUGUGGAUUUUGGAGGUCACAUAUUGGUUUUUUGUUUAUUUUAUUUGCCAUCUAUGAUUGUUUAACUUCUCUUCUUCUCUUGAUUCACCAUGAUUGCUUGAGAAUUGAUUUAAUCUUAGAUUCAUGUUAUUGAACAGUAUAUUUUGAGAGUUUAUUUGAAUUGAUUUUGGUUCUUUUGGGC
rnacentral:lncRNA from 1 species